GACGGCGAGGAUGGCUCCCCCCGCAAGCGGAAGCAGCCGCGCCCUCCCCAGCUGAAGCGUCCGUCCCAGCAGUUUGCUGCGGCAGCGGCCCUCUCUGCCGCCGCCGCCGCCGCGAUGAUGGGCAAGCAGCGCCCCUCCUCCUUGUUUAAGAAGCCGGGCAGCGACCGCACCAAGGGCUCGUCGCUGGCCGCCGACAGCAUCGUGGACGACGUCAUCGCCGAGUUUGCCCCCGACGAGAACGACCGAGAGGAGCGUCGUCGUCGUGUUGGUAGGAUCUCUGCCCCGACACCGUUGCCUGUUCCAGUUCCCCAAAUUAAGGCAAUCCAGGCAGCCUUACAUGCUGAAAUGGAGGUUAGAUCGGAUGGUGCGUUCGAGGCUGAUGGGGUUUCAGACCAUGGAAGCGAUAUGGAGGUAGAAUUGCAGCCAGAGCUGGAACUGAAGCCUGAUGUGGAAAUGCAACCCAAACUAGAAGCAGCUCCAGGUUCUAGUGCGGAAUUGGUGGAUGAGAAUAAGAGCUCGGAGGAACUGAAGCAGGAGGCUAAUGGGGAAGUGAAAAUAGAGAAGGUGCGCCGGUUAAACGCUAAGAUUAAGGCAGAGGGCACCAGAAAUGGUGAUAUGUUGAGUGCAACAGCAUGUUGGAUGAAGAUAUGUGGGGAUGGGGAGAAUGCAGGAGGCAAGGGAGAAGUGACUGUUCAUGAUGUCGUCGAUGUGGAUGAAAGCUCGGAGUUUGAGCUGAAGGAUGGAGCCCUGCCGUUCUAUUUGCUGGAUGCAUAUGAGGAGCCCUUUGGUAUCAAUUCAGGCACAGUCUAUUUGUUUGGGAAGGUUGUAAGAGGCAAGCGCUUCCACAGUUGCUGUGUUGUUGUAAAAAAUAUGCAAAGGUGCAUAUAUGCAAUCCCAAGCAGUUCAGUAUUCCCAAGGGACACAAUAUCAAGGAUAGAGAGGAAUUCCACAAGUUCUGAUGCUUCGCCAUCACUUCGAGCAACUUUACAUGAGUUGUCAUCUGGACUAAAGAGUGAAAUAGCUGACAAGUUGUCUGACCUCAAUGUUUCAAAUUUUGUGAUGACUCCAGUCAAGAGGAACUAUGCAUUUGAGAGGACCGAUGUACCAAUCGGUGAGCAGUAUGUCCUGAAAGUCAAUUACCCAUACAAGGAUCCUGCGGUACCAGCUGACCUUAGAGGUAAAUAUUUCCAUGCGUUACUUGGGACAAACAAUAGUGCACUUGAACUGUUUCUCAUCAAAAGGAAGAUCAAGGGUCCUUCAUGGUUAUCGAUUUCUAAAUUUGUGGCAUGUCCAUCUACUGAGCGGGUCAGCUGGUGUAAAUUUGAAGUUACAGUCGAAUGCCCAAAAGACAUUUCUGUUUUGGUGACAAGUACCACACUGGAAGUCCCCCCAGUUGUAGUUGCGGCUGUUAAUCUUAAAACUAUCAUAAAUGAGAAACACAACGUGCAUGAGAUUGUGUCAGCAUCGGUCAUAUGCUGUCACCAAGUAAAAAUUGAUACUCCAAUGCGUUCUGAAGAUUGGCAGAAACGGGGAACGAUCAGCCAUUUUACUGUUAUGCGCAAGCUUGAAGGAAGCAUAUUUCCUAUAGGCCUCACCAAAGAAGCUUCUGAUAGGAACCAGAAGGCUGGUAGCAACGUGCUGGCACUAGAGAGCAGUGAACGUGCUUUGUUAAAUCGCUUGAUGAUUGAGCUUGGUAAACUUGAUUGUGAUGUACUUGUGGGGCACAACAUUUCGGGAUUCGACCUGGAUGUCCUUCUGCACCGUGCUCAGACCUGCAAAGUACCAAGCAGCAUGUGGUCCAAAAUUGGCCGCCUUAGAAGAUCAGUAAUUCCCAGGCUUACCAAAGGAAACACACUAUAUGGUUCUGGGGCAAGUCCAGGAAUUAUGUCCUGCAUUGCUGGCCGUCUCCUCUGUGACACCUACUUAUGCUCUCGUGAUCUUCUGCGGGAGGUGAGUUAUUCUCUGACACAACUUGCAGAGACUAUACCUCCAAUGUUCCAAUCAUCGGGAACGCUUCUAAAGCUGGUUGAGUACGGUGAGACUGACGCAUGUCUUUCUUUGGAGCUUAUGUUCCACUUGAGUGUUCUCCCGCUUACACGCCAACUGACAAAUAUUAGUGGUAAUCUGUGGGGGAAAACUCUCCAGGGUGCUAGAGCUCAGAGGGUAGAAUAUCUACUGUUGCAUUCAUUCCAUUCAAAAAAAUUCAUUGUACCAGAUAAGUUUGCUGCAUGCAAGGAGCUGAACUCUGCAAAACGAAAACUUAAUGCUGAUACGGGAGGUGGAAACGCUGUUGAUCCUUCCAUUGAUGAUGAGGUGCAUCAUGGUGAUCCAGGUAAAGUAAGAAAAGUCCCUUCAUAUGCUGGUGGUUUGGUUUUGGAGCCUAAAAAAGGUCUAUAUGACAAGUAUAUUCUACUUCUGGACUUCAACAGUCUUUAUCCUUCAAUAAUUCAGGAAUUCAAUAUCUGCUUCACCACUGUUGAGCGUUCUUCUGAUGGCAAUCUCCCUAACCUUCCAACUUCAAAGGCUACUGGUGUUUUGCCUGAGUUGUUGAAGAGUUUGGUGGAGAGGAGAAGAAUGGUUAAAUCCUGGCUCAAAACCGCCUCUGGUCUCAAAAGGCAGCAGUUUGAUAUUCAGCAGCAAGCUUUGAAGCUCACCGCAAACAGUAUGUACGGUUGCUUGGGCUUUACUAGUUCUAGGUUUUUUGCAAAGCCACUUGCCGAGCUUAUUACCCUGCAAGGUAGAGAGAUCUUACAAAACACUGUUAAUCUGGUUCAGAAUAAUUUAAACUUGGAGGUUAUUUAUGGUGACACGGACUCCAUAAUGAUAUAUACUGGACUGGAUGACAUCUCCAAGGCAAAAUCAAUUGCUGGAAAGGUCAUUCAGGAGGUGAACAAGAAGUACCGUUGUCUGGAGAUUGAUCUUGAUGGUGUAUACAAAAGAAUGUUGCUUCUCAAAAAGAAGAAAUAUGCUGCCAUUAAAGUGGCACUAGAUGGUAGUUUACGAGAGAACAUUGAGCGCAAGGGACUUGAUAUGGUCAGGCGUGAUUGGAGUUUGCUGUCAAAAGAAAUUGGUGAUUUUUGCCUGAAUCAAAUUUUGUCUGGAGGGACAUGUGAUGAUGUUGUUGAGUCAAUACAUAAUUCUCUCGUCCAGGUCCAAGCACAGAUGAAAAGUGGUCAAAUAGAGCUUGAAAAAUAUAUCAUCACAAAGAGUCUAACGAAAGCACCAGAAGAUUAUCCAGAUGCUAAAAACCAGCCUCAUGUCCAGGUUGCUUUAAGACUGAAGCAAAAUGGUUUCUCUGGAUGCUCUGCAGGUGAUACCGUUCCUUAUAUUAUUUGCUCACAACAGGAUUCAGAUAAAACACAUUCUGGGGGAAUUGCUCAAAGAGCUAGGCAUCCGGAUGAGUUAACACGAGACCCCAACAAGUGGAUGAUUGACAUCGAGUAUUAUUUGUCACAGCAGAUUCAUCCUGUGGUUUCUCGACUGUGUGCUUCAAUUGAGGGUACUAGCCCAGCCCGACUGGCUGAAUGUCUUGGACUUGAUUCCUCCAAGUUUCAAUCAAGAUCGACCGGGUCUAGCAACGAAGAUAUGUCUAGCAUGCUCUUAUCUGUAACUGAUGAUGAAGAAGAGAGAUAUCGUGGCUGUGAGCCGAUGCGCCUAUCAUGCCCAUGCUGUACCAGUACCUUCGAGUGUCCCCCUGUAUCCAGUCUGAUUGCUAGUUUAUCAGAUGCAAAUGAAGGAAAAGAUGCUAUUGUGAAUUUCUGGCGUCGGAUGCGAUGCCCAAGAUGUCCAGAUGAUACUGAUGAGUGCAGAGUUUCUCCUGCUGUGAUUGCCAACCAGAUAAAAAGACAGUUUCAUAUUCUUUUGCCCUUGGGUCCCUGUCUACAUGUAAGAACCUUCGCUUUCGGCCUAUUUCUUUCCAGUGUGAUGACGAGGGUUGCAAAUAUUCGACUCACAUUGUGAACCUUAGAGUGAUGGGGGAUUCUGAGAGAGGAACCAUCUGCCCGAACUAUCCACAAUGCAACGGCCGUUUAGUAAGACAGUACACAGAGGCAGAUCUAUACAGGCAAUUGUCCUACCUUUGCUAUGUACUUGAUGCAACCCGGUGUCUUGAUAAGUUGGACCAGAAGAUGCGGCUUCCUUUCGAGAAAGAGUUUGCAGUAUUAAACCAAACCAUAAGCUCGGCAUUUCUGGAGAUUCAGAAAAUCCGAGACAGAUGUGCUUUUGGAUGGGUUCAGUUGACAGAUCUAGCAGUGUCAAUCUGAUAAGCUACUGUUUGCCGUAAUCUCAAGCAUUGCUGGCCGUGGGAUAUUGUGUUGUUGAAACUAGAUUUGUUGUUGAAGGUGACGGAAACUGGAAACCAAGUGAUGACCUUGGCCACUAGCCGCUGGCUGGUUUCCUGGCCUGCAAAGGAUGGAGUUGCCCACAUCAUGUUGCUUUCAAAUACAAAUGUUAUAACUAGUUGUUUCAGAGACCCUCCUCGUCGUUGGUGCCAUCCCUAGAUUUUCAAAAUGUAAAUUAUACUACUGUUGUAAAUAUGUUGCACCCAUAAAUCUCAUGGUUUUGUAGCGAUAUACUUAGAAUACUAAAUUUAUCAGCAUUCCAGUUCUUAUUAUCUGAAAUUUAUCACAAUCCAGUUGCUUGCUUACUGAUUCUCAUCUGUAACAUUUUUUUUAUAGUCAUAUGUAACAAGGUUUAUGUAUCAGAAACUAAAAGAAAACAAGGUA